rnacentral:rRNA from 1 species
CAGUAGCCACGGGAAUACGUAGGUGGCAAGCGUUGUCCGGAAUUAUUGGGCGUAAAGGGCUCGCAGGCGGUUUCUUAAGUCUGAUGUGAAAGCCCCCGGCUCAACCGGGGAGGGUCAUUGGAAACUGGGAAACUUGAGUGCAGAAGAGGAGAGUGGAGUUCCACGUGUAGCGGUGAAAUGCGUAGAGAUGUGGAGGAACACCAGUGGCGAAGGCGACUCUCUGGUCUGUAACUGACGCUGAGGAGCGAAAGCGUGGGGAGCGAACAGGAUUAGAUACCCCCGUAGUCCCUGUCUCUUAUAC